UGAAAUGUUUUAGGAAACAAGGUUGUUGAAUCAAAUCUCUUGUACAGUCCCAAAGGCUGCCAGAUAGUAGCAGGAAAAAGACAGCCUCUCAACCUCAAAAAAAAUAAUAGUUGUGAGCAUAAAACGACUGAACAAAAAUUCAUACAAACUGAAAAAUGUGAAUCAAAGUAUUAACUCAUUUAAAUUUUAACCGCAUCUGAAUGGACCAGUCAUCAAAUUUUAUCAGUUUCAAACAUAAAUUUUGAAUUGGAGCAGGCAACUUUCUUCACAUUCUUUCUUGCCCUGUAUAUACCUCAUGAGAUCCAGAGAACCACAACUUCUCCACAUAUUUCUUUUAAAAUAAUGUAUAUGUUUUUCCCAUAGCAUGAUUACACUGGAUGCAAAGCAAUAGUUGUACUGUAUGCAAAGCAUGUUGUACUGUAUUUACUCCUUGGUAACCUUAUUCUGUAAGCAGUAACUCCAGAUAAGAGAUAUAUGAAGUCUCUCUCUCUCUCUCUCUCUCUCAUUCUCCUUCAUGUCAUCACAAGUUUUGAAAACAGGUAUUAAAGAAUUCAAUUUGUCAGUAUGACUUUAUCAGACCAGACCAGAGACUUUUCUUUCUAUUGAAAUGAACUGCAUUCAUCUGGGAUGGGGGUGGGGUGGGGGGCUGUAAUAUUUGUCUUCCUUUUUUUGUUUUACAGGUUGGGAAAGAAGGGCAUUGGAUGGGCAAUAGAGAUAGAAAGGCAGAUUGACCCAGAAUGAAGUUCACAGAAGGAAGAAUUUUGGGACAGCUGACCUAGACCACCUCCAUUUCCCCUCCAACAUUAGAAUAAACUGGCAUACUUUUCUGCAGUCACGAGGGCUACUGCACUUCACAGGACCAACACAACUACCUGCCAGGGGCUGCAAGCCACCAUACAACCACAUCAUGCAUAUUUUAACCCCCUCCCUAUUAAGAUUAAUGAAUUGUAAUUACAAUGUGGCAUCCAUGAAGCAGCACCACAAGCACCCUAACAGUCAGCUAAUGUGGUGAUCAAGACAUCUUCUAGCAGUUGGGCCUCAGUAAGGUUUAAUCAUCUUUUCAGAGGAGCUUUUGGUGACUGGACCAUUACAGAGUCAGGAUAUGGUAAAAAAACAAAAGAAAAGAAAACAAACAAAAACCCCAAAACAAAACCACCACCACCACUAACAACAAAUUAGAUUGGAUCAACAAGUGUAUGGAAUAGAAAUUUCCAUAACAAAAUGAUCCUGCUGAAUGCUUGGGGUGGGACUGCCAUUUUUACAGUUUUUCCAUAUUCCAGUCCAUAUACCUUGACAAUUGGCAAUGAAGGGAGCAUGACCCUCUAGCACAAUGUCAGAGUGUGUUUUAAGGGCAACAGGUACUGGUGAAAAUUUCCAUCCUGUCCUCUACUCCCAAAGACAGUGUCCACUGAAUACAGGUUUCCUCCACCAGCAUAAAGGGUUUCUCUAUUUCUGCAGGGGCAAUUCUUGAUCUAACCUAUGCCACUAAAUCAAUGGAUGCAAUCUGAGUCAGUCUUCUCCAGCCUGGUACCAUCCAGAUGUGCAUUUCUUAAUUAAAAUAUUUCUACUCUACUCUAUAUCUCAGGAUAUCUUACAAGUAAAAGUAAAACAAACCAGUUAGACAGAUUAAAACAAUAUUUAAGAAUACUAAAAACAUAUUAAACAUAAUAAGUUAAAACAGAUUUAAAAGAUUAAAAAAACACAUGUGCAUCAAUAUUUGAAAUGAAUCAAUGAAGCUCAAAGGCAUUGAUGAACAGCUUUUACUUGGUUCCUAAAUGAUAUCAGUGUUGAUGCUAAUCAGGCAUCCAAAGGGAGGGCUUUCCACAGUUGGAGUGCCACAGGUGAGAAGGCAAUUCUUUUAAGAUUGGCAUUAUAUGCUAUCUAUAUGAUAUUCCCUUUGGUAGUCAAGUUACUGCAUUUUGCAGUAGCUGCAACUUCCAAUCUUUUUUAGGGGCAGCCCCACAUACUAUGCAUUACAGUAGUCUAACUGGGAGGUUACCAGGUGGAUGAACUUCUGUGGUUAGGUAAUCCCUGUCCAGGAAAGGCCAUAGCUGGCAUGGCAGCCAAAGAUGUUUCCAAGCAGUUGGAGCCACAGAGUCUAUUUGAGUCUCCACUGGCAGGGAUAGAUCCCAGAGUACCCAAACUACACUUCUGCUACUUCAGAAGGAAUGCAAACUCAUCCAGGACAGGCUGUUUACCCAAUUCAGAGCCUCUUAUGGUGUUGAACUACAACUCCCACCAGCCAUCAGCACAACCACUGGUAAUGUUAUCUGGAGACAAUGGCCUGUUACAGACUGCCAAAAUAAAGCUGCUUCGGGUCUC